CAAGACUUCGAAAUACUAUCCCCACCAGAAAGCACACAAGGAAAUAAUAAUAAUAAUAAAAAUAAAAGAAAAGCAACUUCCAACAUUUUGAUCUGAGUCAAACUGAUUAUUCAUCUGCAAAAACUCUGGGAUUGCACCAAGGUUGCCAUCAAUAAGUGUGCGCAAGAAGACUCCCAGUAAGUUUCUGCGUCCGGUUAUCUAGAACUGCUAAUUGUUGCAAGUCUUUGAGAGUAAACUCAGCCUUUUUUGCUCAGCAGCAACAUU
rnacentral:misc_RNA from 1 species